CACAGACAAGACCGUGAGAGGUCCGCAUCAAUUUACAUUCAUUGCUAAAACUUGAUGGAUUAUUAAGCGGAGUGUCCGCGUACGAAAGAUAAGCUGCCUUUGGCACUCCGAGAGCGCGUUCGAAUGCGUUCCAAACGGUAUCGGGGUUUACAAGAAGUGCAAAGUCCUGUUUUUGUGUUGGAUAAUAUCCUACGGCGAUCUCAAUGUGAAAAUAUAAGACACUACUACAGAGAUCCGGCUGGCUGAGUUAUGUCAAACGCAUGUACCCGACUGCGCCGAGUACUCAAGCGACCUCGUUGUUGUGGCUUCUUAGUAAUCGGUUGGAUAUUAUGCUUCGUGAUAUUUUGUAUUCUAACAUAUAAUACGCCAGCGAUAG